GUGCCAGCAGCCGCGGUAAGACGUAGGGCGCGAGCGUUGUCCGGAUUUAUUGGGCGUAAAGAGCUCGUAGGCGGCUUGUUGCGUCGGCUGUGAAAACCCGCAGCUCAACUGUGGGCUUGCAGCCGAUACGGGCAGGCUAGAAUUCGGUAGGGGAGACUGGAAUUCCUGGUGUAGCGGUGAAAUGCGCAGAUAUCAGGAGGAACACCGGUGGCGAAGGCGGGUCUCUGGGCCGAUAUUGACGCUGAGGAGCGAAAGCGUGGGGAGCGAACAGGAUUAGAAACCCUCGUAGUCC
rnacentral:rRNA from 1 species